GUCCGCGUAGCACAGUGGUAGUGCGCUUGACUACGAUUACUAACACCAUCGGAUCAAGAGGUCGUGGUUUCGAAUACCAUCGUGGAUU